CAAAGUCAACCACAUUAAUUUUUUCAUAUAUUUUAAAGUGAUUUAAUAAAUAAUACAAAUUUAAAAAUUAAAAGAGAUAAAAGAAAAUUAAAUAAAUAACUAAAAUAACUUAUUUUAUAAAAUUAGAGGAUAAAAUAAAUCAUGUUCCCUUUUCGACAAGCCAACGGCCUAACAAGCACCAUAUGAUUUAUAUUUGAAGUUUCCUACUAUUUCUAAUUGGAUGCAAAAAGAAAGAGUGAACCGAAUAGAGUUCCAUGGUAAAAUGCAAUAUUUAACGUAGAAAAAUACAUGUAAACAAAUGGCAAGCACACCAAAAGAUAGAGAUAAAACCUGGAAUCCUUUGAGUGGAGUAUCAUAAUGAAUAGGAUGGUUCACUCUCUCCUUGAUAAUGUCCCGUAGGUGCUUUGCGUAAGCCCUCAUGAAGUCAACCUUUUUUGGAGGAGAGUUAAGCAUGGUCGACACUUUUGUGAGCCUGUUGGCGUACUUACGAGCAGCUUCGUCACAUAUCUCUUCCACUUCAGGCGAAGUUAAACCUCCUUUCUUUGUAAAAAAUUUCAGACCAUUGCGAGUGUAGGCAUCGUAAGCAAAUGGUGGCAGCAAUGUGCUCAUAAAACAAGCUGGUGUAGUAGCAAGGCCCAUCUCAAAUGUCAAGCAGCCAGCUCGAGCAAGGCCUGCAAAUACUGCUACACUCAGAGAUGCUCCUGAUAUUCGAGGGUCUUUGCCAAGUGAUACUGUAACAUCUUCCACUGGACGUCCUCGUUCCUUUUCCAAGGCCUUGAUAAUCCACUCUCCGAAGCUCUCGGCUAUGGCUUCCACGGCUGGUGGGGUAAGGUCCACGGUUCGACCCUUUUCACCUUCCAGUGCAACCCCUCGAACAUCGGACCCAUUUUGAAGUCUCCUAAUCUUGUCCAUCUCUUCAUCAACAACCACUUCAUUAUAUUUCACUGCACCGCUAGAAGAUUUAACGCAUAUAACUACACUUGACUUUGACGAAAAUGAAAAUCUCAACGCUUUUUUUA